rnacentral:rRNA from 1 species
UACAGAGGGUGCGAGCGUUGUUCGGAAUCAUUGGGCGUAAAGCGCUUGUAGGCGGCCCUGUCAAGUCGCGUGUGAAAUCCCUUGGCUUAACCAAGGAAGUGCGCGCGAAACUGGCGGGCUUGAGUGCCGGAGAGGGUCGCGGAAUUCCCCGGUGUAGAGGUGAAAUUCGUAGAUAUCGGGAGGAACACCAGUGGCGAAGGCGGCGACCUGGACGGACACUGACGCUGAGACGCGAAAGCGUGGGGAGCAAAACAGG